CGGCAACCCUUUCAGGGCAACACGGGAACCCAAGAAGGGCCAGGACCUUACCAAACACACUCUAAGGCUCCAGUUCAUCCUCACAAAAUCACCAGAAGAGAGGCAGCCCCUCCACUCUGAAUUGAAAACCGUGCUCUGCUGCCUGCCAGGAAAGCCCUGUCAGCACCUCAGCACCGCCACAAAGCAGAGCCAGGCAGGCACCACAGGGUGCUGCGAGCAGGACGCUCCAGCCACGAGAGGGGGCUCACAGAAGGUGUAAUGAAGCCAACUGAAGGAUCUCAUCCACAAAACGUUCACCGUUUGGUUUGGCUACAGCAGGUAGAGCUGGAGGGGAGCAGCCUGUGGGCCUGCAGACGUUUCCCUCCGCUGUGGGCUGACACGCGGGCCUGUCCGGAUGGCGACGAUGGUGUUGCGGUGGCCUGGCAGAUCUCUGCUCCUCACCUUGCAGCUGCCUCGAGUAGCACUUGCUUUCACCUGGGGACGGCCAGGAACUGGGUUUAACUAGGGGGAAAACUGGAAACGGCCUGUCUGGAAGCUCAGCGUCCUCCCGGCUGCCUCAGCGGCCCCUGCGUGGGCGGCCGGGACACCUGGACCUGCCGGAUUUGGCCUGUUUUCCCUGGCGGCCAUUUCUCCCCCUCACUCCAGUCACCUCGUCCUAGCGCAGGCUUGCCCGGCCCUCUCUGCCCCACAGGCGGGGGCACGGCCGGGCGGCGCCGGCUCCUCACGCCACACACCGGCCACAGGCGCUGCGAUGGCGACCGGCCGGGCGGGAAGGCGGGCGGGGACCGCCCCGCGGGCGCGCGGGGGCCGCUGGGAGCUGUAGUCCGCCUGGAGCCCAGGUGCG